rnacentral:rRNA from 1 species
UUCUUGAUACUAAAUAAGAAGUAACUCCUGCCCAGUGACUUUAAUUCAACGGCCGCGGUAUCCUAACCGUGCAAAGGUAGCAUAAUCACUUGCCCAUUAAUUGUGGGCUGGAAUGAAAGGAUAAACGAAAUAAAGGCUGUCUCUAUAAGCUCAAUAAAAAUUAAUCUCUAAUUGAAGAACAUUAGAUAACAUCGAAGGACAAGAAGACCCUAUAGAGCUUUAUUCUAAUAAAAGCUAAAAUUUUUCUAAAAUUCGGUUGGGGCGACCAGGGAAAUUAUAAAACAUCCCUUAAUAACAGAUCAAUAAAUCAAUUAUAUGACCCUAAAACAAGAUCAACAAAACAAGCUACCUUAGGGAUAACAGGCUAAUUCCAUUAGAGAGUCCUUAUUAAUAAUGGAGUUUGGCACCUCGAUGUUGGCUUAGGGAAUCUCUACGGCGCAAAAGUCAUAUAAAGAUGGUUUGUUCAACCUAUAACACCCUACAUGAGCUGAGUUCAGACCGGCGUAAGCCAGGUUAGUUUCUAUCCUCGAUACACAAAUCUACUUAUAGUACGAAAGGACCUAAGUAAGAGUAAUAAUUAUAGCACUAGAAUGAAUAUAACAUAGACACUAAGCAACUAUAACCAUAAACUAUG